AACGCUAGCUACAGGCUUAACACAUGCAAGUCGAGGGGCAGCAUGAACUUAGCUUGCUAAGUUUGAUGGCGACCGGCGCACGGGUGAGUAACACGUAUCCAACCUCCCGCUUACUCAGGAAUAGCCUCUCGAAAGAAAGAUUAAUGCCUGAUGGUAUCUUAAGCACACAUGUAAUUAAGAUUAAAGAUUUAUCGGUAAGCGAUGGGGAUGCGUUCCAUUAGGUAGUAGGCGGGGUAACGGCCCACCUAGCCGAUGAUGGAUAGGGGUUCUGAGAGGAAGGUCCCCCACAUUGGAACUGAGACACGGUCCAAACUCCUACGGGAGGCAGCAGUGAGGAAUAUUGGUCAAUGGGCGCGAGCCUGAACCAGCCAAGUAGCGUGAAGGAUGAAGGUCCUAUGGAUUGUAAACUUCUUUUAUACGGGAAUAAAGUGGUCCACGUGUGGACUUUUGCAUGUACCGUAUGAAUAAGCAUCGGCUAACUCCGUGCCAGCAGCCGCGGUAAUACGGAGGAUGCGAGCGUUAUCCGGAUUUAUUGGGUUUAAAGGGAGCGCAGACGGGGGAUUAAGUCAGUUGUGAAAGUUUGCGGCUCAACCGUAAAAUUGCAGUUGAUACUGGUUCCCUUGAGUGCAGUUGAGGCAGGCGGAAUUCGUGGUGUAGCGGUGAAAUGCAUAGAUAUCACGAAGAACUCCGAUUG
rnacentral:rRNA from 1 species